rnacentral:tRNA from 1 species
GGGAAUGUGGCUCCGUGGUAGAGUGCUUGCCUAGCAUGCAUGAAGCCCUGGGUUCGAUUCCUCAGUACCA